UCAUUCUGUAGACCAGGCUGCCCUCCAGAGU
rnacentral:piRNA from 1 species